UGAAGGGUUCUAGAAAUUUAUUAAUUGAUUAUCAAUUUUUGGUCCCGAAAAUCUCAAAACUGGGCCUGAUGCCAAGCACAAGAAAGCCUUCCAAAGCACGAAGUGGGUUAACACCCUGCAAAACAAAGUAGUGUUUGGGAAGUUGGUAAAAAAUUAAUAUUUUAAUUUUUUUUAUGACUUUUUAAUUUUUUGUAUAAAAAAAUAAAAAUGUGAUAUAAUCUAAAAAAAUUUAAAAAAAAAAAAACUUUUUACAAUGUUUCUAAAACGCCCCAAAAUAUGACAAAAAGCACAACCAUAAUAAAAUGAAUAUACGAUUAGAUAUCCAAGGUCCGACACUGAGUGGCUGUGGUCGGUGCAACUGUCGUCAAUAGCAUGUUGUCUUUUUCUGUUUUGGUUGUAGCAUUGAACAGUGCAACAGUCCUAUUUUUUUGGUCAAUGCAACACAUAUUUCUUGAUGUUAUAUAAGGAUAUCUUCCACGGUUUACUAAAUAUUUUAUUAAAUUUAAGUAAAAAUUUGAUAAACUUUUCUAUCUGAUAUCAAGUUUUUUAACGGUAAAUUUUUAGUUGUCCGCAAAACAUAGGUCGUUUGGGGGACGAUCGACCAGUCGACCAGCAAGUUCAAUCCAAAAAAUCUAUAACAACUUUUUUGGGUUUGAUUGAUUCUGUACGAUUUAACUUUUCUAAGUAUCAACUUUCAUUUUUCCUCUCUAUUCAUUUUCUGGGUGAAAGCAUUCUUAUAGGAGAGAUUGAACUUCUCCAUCUGGAUUUUCUCAGAGUGAUAUUGAAGUCCCCAACAAUGGCUACUUUGGUCCCUGGUGUUCUAUGGAAGCUUCUACAACAUAUGAGCAUAGAUGUGAAGAUUGCUGGUGAGCACAUGUCAUCUCUAUUGCAAGUAUAGUGAGCAUUGUCCCUGAACUAGCUGGUGGUGAACUCUUCCAGAACCAAGGGUUUUACCUUAAGGUUGAUCGUGAUGAUAGUAGUACUAAUGGUGUACAGGUGAAAAAAA